UUGCUCCUCCUGAUCAGUGGCGAACGGGUGAGUAACACGUGAGUAACCUGCCCCAGACUCUGGGAUAACAUCGGGAAACCGGUGCUAAUACCGGAUAUGAGACGAGACUGCAUGGUCAUCGUCUGGAAAGAUUUAUCGGUCUGGGAUGGACUCGCGGCCUAUCAGCUAGUUGGUGAGGUAAUGGCUCACCAAGGCGACGACGGGUAGCCGGCCUGAGAGGGCGACCGGCCACACUGGAACUGAGACACGGUCCAGACUCCUACGGGAGGCAGCAGUGGGGAAUAUUGCACAAUGGGCGCAAGCCUGAUGCAGCAACGCCGCGUGGGGGAUGAAGGCCUUCGGGUUGUAAACCCCUUUUAGCAGGGAAGAAGCGAAAGUGACGGUACCUGCAGAAAAAGCGCCGGCUAACUACGUGCCAGCAGCCGCGGUAAUACGUAGGGCGCAAGCGUUGUCCGGAAUUAUUGGGCGUAAAGAGCUCGUAGGCGGUUUGUCGCGUCUGCUGUGAAAGUCCGAGGCUCAACCUCGGAUCUGCAGUGGGUACGGGCAGACUAGAGUGUGGUAGGGGAGACUGGAAUUCCUGGUGUAGCGGUGGAAUGCGCAGAUAUCAGGAGGAACACCAAUGGCGAAGGCAGGUCUCUGGGCCAUAACUGACGCUGAGGAGCGAAAGCGUGGGGAGCGAACAGGAUUAGAUACCCUGGUAGUCCACGCCGUAAACGGUGGGCACUAGAUGUGGGGCUCUUUCCAUGAGUUCCGCGUCGCAGCUAACGCAUUAAGUGCCCCGCCUGGGGAGUACGGCCGCAAGGCUAAAACUCAAAGGAAUUGACGGGGGCCCGCACAAGCGGCGGAGCAUGCGGAUUAAUU
rnacentral:rRNA from 1 species